rnacentral:lncRNA from 1 species
CAUAAUAUUCAAACUGCAAAAGUUCUUAAAAAAACACCAAUGUCUUUAAAGUGCCAGCAGUGCUGAAGAAACCUGUUCCAAAAGAAAAAGUACCAUCUGCUGUUCCUAAAAAGGAAAUGACUCCACCAGCUAAAGGGCCAGCUGUUCCCAUAAGAACUGUCCCUGAAGGAAAGAAACCUACACAUACACCCGAAAUAGAAGUUCCACCAAUGAAAGGUAAAGGAACCUUUGAUAAGAGAUUUUAUGGAAAGGAAAUAUUUCUGUUUUUCCCAACUAACAUCUUUUAAAAUGAUCCUCAUGUU